UGCUGCUUUCCCUUAUCUAGCCUAUUGGGAUCAAGGGAGCCUAUAUAUUGACGAUAAUUCUUCUUUCAAAGCCCUAGCUUCUUGUAGAAGAAGCAUUCUGUCUAGCUCUUAUCAACCUUUGACAUUUUGCUUUGACUGAGUUUUGGAGCUCCAACAUGCUGCACCUUCUUAUUCUUCUUUUUCUCUUUCUUAAAAGGAUGACAUCCAGAAGAGGAACCACCCACC
rnacentral:lncRNA from 1 species